CCUACGGGAGGCAGCAGUGGGGAAUAUUGCACAAUGGGGAAAACCCUGAUGCAGCGACGCCGCGUGCGUGAAGAAGUAAUUCGUUAUGUAAAGCUCUAUUAUCAGGGAAGAAAAUGACGGUAACUGAGUAAGAAGCCUCGGCUAACUACGUGCCAGCAGCCGCGGUCAUACGUAGGGGGCAAGCGUUAUCCGGAUUUACUGGGUGUAAAGGGUUCGUUGACGGAAGUGCAAGAUUGGAGUGAAAGGCGGGGGUUCAACCCCCGGACUGUUCUGGAAACUGUACGGCUGGAGAGCAGGAGAGGUAAGUGGAAUUCCUAGUGUAGCAGUGAAAUGCGUAGAUAUUAGGAGGAACACCAGUGGCGAAGGCAGCUUACUGGACUGUAACUGACGUUGAGGCUCGAAAGCGUAGGGAGCAAACAGGAUUAGAUACCCCAGUAGUC
rnacentral:rRNA from 1 species